AGUACUAGCUGGCAGGGCACCCCUGGGACAGGAUGUUCUCAAUGUCCCUUUUGCCAUGUUAUGUCCAAUCGCCCUGGCCAGACCCUGGAAAUGCCGACGGGACCCACAGAAAGGAGACAGGUGCUUCUCGAUGAGCACCUGUAUGUGGCUCUCUGCAGAAGAGAGAACUUCAGACUUUCCAGAGAAUAUGAGAUCACAGGUGAAUCGGGAAGCUUCCUCCCCGGUUUCCUCCUGCCUUCCCUCCACUUCCUCACCUCCCCCAACCCCCAGUCUCCAGCCACUCCAGUCCAUUCCACGUCUUAACCCCUGGACCUAAUUGUGCCCAGACCUUCUGUUUCCUGCUCUUCCUUACCACCACUCUGCUUCCUGGGGUCUCCAUUCCAGCUGCCUCUUUCUCCAUCUCUCCCACUUAUACCAUCUCCUCCAAUGCCCCCCACCCCACCCCACCUCACCACCCUGUACCUCCCAGGAUAUCCAACCAUAUCUUCCUGUCCUGAGCAUCCAUGGGCUUCUCUGUGGCAUCUGCCAACCUCUGGGUGCCAAGAGUUCCGAAUUUUGAGGGGAAGAUGGGGUGGUGACAGAUCCCUUUGAAAAUUUGAUCAAACUUGAACAAUGAAGGGUAACAUUUAUAACACGCUAAGAACGUGACAGACACUUUCCAUGAUUUCCUUGAAUGUAAUCUAUUUCUUACGACGACUCCAUGCAGUGUUCUAUUUUGAUUCCCAUUCCACGUUUCAGGGAACAGAUACCACGUAGCUCCUAAAUAUCAGCGCUUGAAUUUGAACCUGGGCUUGGAUGCAAACCUCACUUGUACCUACUCUCCCCAUGAAAAUGCACCAGCAGCUUCACAUUCAAGGUCCAGUAGACCUCAAGAUGCAUGUGGGUUGGAGGGACCUUACCACACCUCCUCCCACUGUGCUCUCCAGGAGGAGGGCUCUAGUAGACCAAGGCCAAGGCCGUGACAGGGCUCAAGUCUUGGGGCAAAGGCCGGGUUUGGGUGGCAGCAGCAGAGAAGUUUUUUUAUUCGAAUGAACUCCCUCUGGGAUCUUUGCUUUGGGAUUAGCUCUCCCAGGAGAGGGUGGGAGAAGACGGCCCAGGCACCCCUGUUGCCAAAAGGGAACCAGAGGCGACUGCAAAUGGGGUGAUGAAAAUGUGCUAAAGUUAAAUUGUGGUGAGCAUGGCACAACUUUGCAUUGGCUGGAAAUCACGGAAUUGUGCACUUAGAAAUGAGUACAUUUUAGGGUAUGUAAAUUAUACCACAAUAAAGCUGUGGCAAGACCCAAGGGGAUGGGGGAACAAAGGAACCAGAAGAGUCCAGGGCAAAGGAAACCCAGGAGACGGCACAGCCUCAAGUGGAGAGGAACUAGAGGAGUCAGGCCCACAUGCGGCCACCAGCUCUGCAGCCAACCAGGAGGGCUUGCUGUCCUCCGGGUGCCCCUCUGGAGCCAGCAGCAGCUGAGUUGUGCCCAGGUGUGGAUUCAGCAUCCGGGUCCUCUUUCCAUCCAUCCCUGCUCACAGCUGGGGCAUCACGCAAUGUCAGGUGAGUCUAGCUUCACAGGACCAAGAUUUGGCGGGUGGGGCUGCUGGGCACUCAGGCUGCUUAAUGCAAGGGAG
rnacentral:lncRNA from 1 species